rnacentral:rRNA from 1 species
UACAGAGGUCUCAAGCGUUGUUCGGAUUCAUUGGGCGUAAAGGGCGCGUAGGCGGCUCGUGAAGUCGGGUGUGAAAGCCCGGGGCUCAACCCCGGAACGGCAUCCGAUACUGGCGGGCUUGAGACCGGGAGAGGAGGGUGGAAUACCCAGUGUAGAGGUGAAAUUCGUAGAUAUUGGGUAGAACACCGGUGGCGAAAGCGGCUCUCUGGCCCGGAUCUGACGCUGAGGCGCGAAAGCGUGGGGAGCAAACAGG